rnacentral:rRNA from 1 species
AAACCCAGUGUGAUUCGUCACACUAUCAUUACGUGAAUACAUAGCGUAAUGAAGCGAACCGGGGGAACUGAAACAUCUAAGUACCCCGAGGAAAAGAAAUCAACCGAGAUUCCCCCAGUAGCGGCGAGCGAACGGGGAGCAGCCCAGAGUCUGAAUCAGCUUGUGUGUUAGUGGAACGGUCUGGAAAGUCCGACGGUACAGGGUGAUAGUCCCGUACACCAAAAUGCACAGGUUGUGAACUCGAAGAGUAGGGCGGGACACGUGGUAUCCUGUCUGAAUAUGGGGGGACCAUCCUCCAAGGCUAAAUACUCCUGACUGACCGAUAGUGAACCAGUACCGUGAGGGAAAGGCGAAAAGAACCCCGGCGAGGGGAGUGAAAAAGAACCUGAAACCGUGUACGUACAAGCAGUGGGAGCCUCUUUAUGGGGUGACUGCGUACCUUUUGUAUAAUGGGUCAGCGACUUAU